UGAAUUAUUGUAUAAAUCAUUAGUUGAUUCAUCACUAUGAAAAUUCAGGAAUGCUGGCCUAGUGUGCUAUGCUGAUCGGGUGUCUGCCUGAUUUUGGCAUCAACAUAGUGAUCUCCCAGGAGUAGGGGACCACUGGGUUGCCUAAGGAGGGGUGAACCAGCCCACGUCAGAAACAGAGCAGGUCAAAACUCCUGUGCUGAUCAGUAGUGGCAUUGCACCUGUGAAUGGUGACUGCACUCCAGCCUGGAAAACAUAGUAA
rnacentral:sRNA from 1 species